UGAGUGCGAGCGGCUACGGCCGCGAAGUGGGUGACGUCAAGCUUCCAAGAAAAGCCCUAUACCCGUUAAGGCAUGAUGGCCUGUACCCGAAACCGACACAGGUGGGGUGGUAGAGAAUACCGAGGGGCGCGAGGUAACUCUCUCUAAGGAACUCGGCAAAAUGGCCCCGUAACUUCGGGAGAAGGGGUGCCACCGCAAGGUGGUCGCAGUGAAGAGGCCCAGGCGACUGUUUACCAAAAACACAGGUCUCCGCUAAGUCGCAAGACGAUGUAUGGGGGCUGACGCCUGCCCAGUGCCGGAAGGUUAAGGAAGCUGGUCAGCGCAAGCGAAGCUGGCGACUGAAGCCCCGGUGAACGGCGGCCGUAACCAUAACGGUCCUAAGGUAGCGAAAUUCCUUAUCGGGUAAGUUCCGACCCGCACGAAAGGCGUAACGAUCUGGGCGCUGUCUCGGAGAGAGGCUCGGCGAAAUAGAAUUGUCUGUGAAGAUGCGGACUACGUGCACCCGGACAGAAAGACCCUAUGAAGCUUUACUGUAGCUUGGUAUUGUGCCCGGGCUCUGAAUGCGCAGGAUAGGUGGGAGGCUUUGAUCCAUGGCUUGCGGGUCAUGGUGAGCCAACGGUGAGAUACCACUCUUUCAGAGCUAGGGUUCUAACGGUCACCCGUCAUCCGGGGACCGGACAGUAUCAGGUGGGCAGUUUGACUGGGGCGGUCGCCUCCUAAAAGGUAACGGAGGCGCGCAAAGGUUUGCUCAGGCUGGUUGGAAAUCAGCCGACGAGUGCAAAAGCAGAAGCAAGCUUGACUGUGAGACCUACAAGUCGAACAGGGACGAAAGUCGGCUUUAGUGAUCCGACGGUUCUGAGUGGAAGGGCCGUCGCUCAACGGAUAAAAGUUACUCUAGGAUAACAGGCUGAUCUCCCCCAAGAGUUCACAUCGACGGGGAGGUUUGGCACCUCGAUGUCGGCUCAUCGCAACCUGGGGCUGAAGUCGGUCCCAAGGGUUGGGCUGUUCGCCCAUUAAAGCGGUACGCGAGCUGGGUUCAGAACGUCGUGAGACAGUUCGGUCCAUAUCCGGUGCACGCGCAGGAACAUUGAGAGGAUUUCUCCCUAGUACGAGAGGACCGGGAGGAACGCACCUCUGGUGUGCCAGUUAUCGUGCCAACGGUAAACGCUGGGUAGCCAUGUGCAGAGUGGAUAACCGCUGAAAGCAUCUAAGUGGGAAGCCCACCUCAAGAUGAGUGUUCCCAUGGCAUAAGCCAGUAAGGUCACGGGAAGAACACCCGUUGAUAGGCUCUACGUGGAAGCCGGGUAACCGGUGAAGCGGAGGAGUACUAAUAGACCGAGGGCUUGAC
rnacentral:rRNA from 1 species